GGGCUGCUUACCAUGCAGUCGAACGCUGAAGCCUGGUGCUUGCAUCGGGUGGAUGAGUGGCGAACGGGUGAGUAACACGUGAGUAACCUGCCCCUGACUUCGGGAUAAGCCCGGGAAACUGGGUCUAAUACCGGAUACGACUGCCGGACGCAUGUCUGGUGGUGGAAAGUUUUUUCGGUUGGGGAUGGGCUCGCGGCCUAUCAGUUUGUUGGUGAGGUAAUGGCUCACCAAGACGACGACGGGUAGCCGGCCUGAGAGGGCGACCGGCCACACUGGGACUGAGACACGGCCCAGACUCCUACGGGAGGCAGCAGUGGGGAAUAUUGCACAAUGGGGGAAACCCUGAUGCAGCGACGCAGCGUGCGGGAUGACGGCCUUCGGGUUGUAAACCGCUUUCAGCAGGGAAGAAGCGCAAGUGACGGUACCUGCAGAAGAAGUACCGGCUAACUACGUGCCAGCAGCCGCGGUAAUACGUAGGGUACGAGCGUUGUCCGGAAUUAUUGGGCGUAAAGAGCUCGUAGGUGGUAGGUCACGUCUGCUGUGGAAACGCAACGCUUAACGUUGCGCGUGCAGUGGGUACGGGCUGACUAGAGUGCAGUAGGGGAGUCUGGAAUUCCUUGGUGUAGCGGUGAAAUGCGCAGAUAUCAAGAAGAACACCGGUGGCGAAGGCGGGACUCUGGGCUGUAACUGACACUGAGGAGGCGAAAGCAUGGGGAGCGAACAGGAUUAGAUACCCUGGUAGUCCAUGCCGUAAACGUUUGGGCACUAGGUGGGGGGGGCCAUUCCACGUUCUCCGCGCCGUAGCUAACGCAUUAAGUGCCCCGCCCUGGGGGAGUACGGUUCCCAAGGCUAAAACUCAAAGGAAUUGACCGGGGGCCCGCACAAGCGGCGGACCAUCGCGGAUAAUUUCGAUCCAACGCAAAAACCUUUACCAAGGCUGACAAAACACCGGCCGUUCCGGAAACCAGUUCUUCCCUUUGGGGGUGGGGGACCAGGGGGGCCAGGGUGUUGUUAAGUUGGGUUGGGAGAAGGUGGGGUAAAGUCCGCAAAGGGGGCAACCCUUGUUUUUAGUUGCCCACCACGGGAGGGGGGAAAUUCUUAGGGGAUGCCGGGGUUAAAUUGGAGGAAAGGGGGGGAGGAGUUCAAUUCUUCAUCCCCUUAAGUUUUGGGGUUUCAGCCUGGUUCAAAGGGUGGGACCAAGAGAGGGGAAACCCGGAGGGCCAAGGAAUUCCUUAAAACCCAUUUCAGUUUGGGAUGGUAGUUGCAAAUUGGAUUACGGAAAUUCGGAGUCGUUAGUAAUCGCAGAUCAGCAACGUGCGGGGAAAUACGUUCCCGGCCUUGUACACCCGCCCGUCAAAGUCAGAAAAGUCGGAACACCCCGAAGCCGGUGGCCUAACCCGCAAGGGAGGGGGCCGUCUAAG
rnacentral:rRNA from 1 species